rnacentral:rRNA from 1 species
UCUACGGGUGGCUGCAGUGAGGAAUAUUGGUCAAUGGGCGAGAGCCUGAACCAGCCAAGUCGCGUGAGGGAAGACGGUCCUAUGGAUUGUAAACCUCUUUUGUCGGGGAGCAAAAAGGCCUCGUGAGGCCACAAGUGAGAGUACCCGAAGAAAAAGCAUCGGCUAACUACGUGCCAGCAGCCGCGGUAAUACGGAGGAUGCGAGCGUUAUUCGGAUUUAUUGGGGGUAAAGGGUGCGUAGGCGGACGGGAAAGUCAGCGGUAAAACCGAGAGGGUAAACCGCUUUCCGCCGUUGAAACUGUCGGUCUUGAGUGGGCGAGAAGUAUGCGGAAUGCGUGGUGUAGCGGUGAAAUGCAUAGAUAUCACGAAGAACUCCGAUUGCGAAGGCAGCAUACCGGCGCCCGACUGACGCUGAGGCACGAAAGCGUGGGUAUCGAACAGGAUUAGAUACCCGUGUAGUC